GGGGAAUUUUCCGCAAUGGGCGAAAGCCUGACGGAGCAAGACCGCGUGAGGGAGGAAGGCUCUUGGGUUGUAAACCUCUUUUCUUGGGGAAGAAAAAAAUGACGGUACCCAAGGAAUCAGCAUCGGCUAACUCCGUGCCAGCAGCCGCGGUAAUACGGAGGAUGCAAGCGUUAUCCGGAAUUAUUGGGCGUAAAGCGUCCGCAGGUGGCACUUCAAGUCUGCUGUCAAAGGUCGGGGCUUAACCCCGGGAAGGCAGUGGAAACUGAAGCGCUAGAGUGUCGUAGGGGUAGAGGGAAUUCCCGGUGUAGCGGUGAAAUGCGUAGAGAUCGGGAAGAACAUCGGUGGCGAAAGCGCUCUACUGGACGACAACUGACACUCAGGGACGAAAGCUAGGGGAGCGAAAGGGAUUAGAUACCCCUG
rnacentral:rRNA from 1 species